UUGAUUAUUUAAAAAUGGAUAAAUUUAAAAAAAAACAAGCAUGUAAUAUAUCAACUUCUACCUAAUACAAUAAAAUUGUCUUUUAUACAGAUAUAAUUAAAUGCGUGAAAUAAAUACUUCACUGCUAAUUUUAAAUGCUAUUAACUAUUUUUUAUAAUAAAAACCAAAAUCCCACUAUUUUGCUAAUACCACAACUCUCCUCAAAAGUCAAAACACUUUCAGUGUGGUAAUAGCAAAAGAUGGAGUUCCCAUUUUCCCACUUUCCAUAAAAACCUAAAAAAAUUAUAACAAAUUUACGAUUAUACCCCUGAAAGCCACCGGAAAAGUUCACUGAUCUCUUCACCGAUUCUCCCAUGACCUCCGUCAAAAUCGCUAACCGCCUCACUCCGGCGACUACUUCCGGUAAAGAACCUUCCAGAACCACGUAACGAAACCGAAACACGAUCCACGUAAUCACGCAACCAAUUAAACCGUCCACUACCACCGGCAGCAACCUCCGCGGCCAAACUCUCUCCCGGCGCUUCCGCCGUUGAAUCCUUAUCGCCGGAAGUACAAUCGGAAACAACACUCCGGUGCGUCGACUCCACCGGAAUCUCGUAACCGUCGUCCAGCACGUAAUCAUACGAACCGACGGAGUAUGACCUCCGGUCAGAAUUCGCCGGAUCUCGCCGUUGACUAAUAGUCCCGAUCUCGAUUCGGAAACUGUUACUCCUGUUUCCACCAGCUCUACGACUACCGCCGUUGCCGGAAGUCAACGUAUUCAUAAUAUCUUCUUCGUUAGGGUUUACAGUAGACCGGCAGAGCGGACACGUCAUGUUAGACUUAAGCCACGCGUCAAUACACUGCGCGUGAAACGCGUGACAACAUAACGGAAGAAGCCGGAGCUGAUCUGAACUUUCAAACUUCGAUAAACAAACGGCACAGUCGCCUCCGGCGAUUUUUCCGGUGAGUGAAGAGAAGGUGAAAAGCGGUAAGGAGUCGAGUGCAUUGUUAGUUAUGGAGAUCACAUGAUGACGCACGUGUUCGGUUUCGUUACUUUCGUUACUAUCGUUUCUGUUAUUGGAAACGACGUCGUCGGCUGGUGAAAAUGUACUGAAUGAACGGUUGCAGCGGCGUGUGAGGAAGCGGAUGAGGAGGUAAAUAGUGGCGGAGAUAAUAAUGGCGGAAGAUAUAAUAAUCAUUACGAUUAUUAUUGAAGGUGUUGGAGGUGAUGAGUGGUGGUGGUGUGAUACUGUGUCGUUGUAGUAAAGUUGAGGAAUGGGGGUGUAUGAGGUGGGGGUGGGGGUGGUUAUGACGGAGAAUGGUGGUGGUGGAGAGGUGGAGGUGGUAGGGUGUCCAUUUUGGGAAGGAGGGUGGUGGUGGUGAAGGUGGUUAGGAAUAUAUGGUGAGUUAAUGAAGGGUGUGGUACAGAUGGGGAAUUGAUUUGAAGAUGAUGUGGUAAUUAAUGUGUUUUCUGGAUUUGGUGAUGUUUCAGGGUUUCAGCUCUUGAGUUGCAUGUGAUAUGCACGUGACAACAGUUGGGUCGGGUCGGGUCGGGUUUUGUGGUUUUGGAAUUAUGGCAGCAUUUACUUCCUACUAAACUACCACACUUUUGGGUUUGUUAUGUUGCAGUUGUAUUCAUGUUGUUUUGACAUAUAUGGAUUCACAUGUGUUUUACAUUUAGUAUUUUUACGUUACAAUUUACGUACAAAUGUGUAAGUUUCUACUACCAAGUAUUAUAUAUAUAUCACCUUUGUUUGUUAUUGAGGUUUAUAUGUGACUUUGUGGAAUAAAUCUUUGUCUAAUAAGUAUGUUGUUCUUAACAUUUGUAAUUUUGAACUUUAGUAGUAAACACGAUAUGUAUCUUGUC
rnacentral:lncRNA from 1 species